rnacentral:rRNA from 1 species
UGGGGAAUAUUGCACAAUGGGCGCAAGCCUGAUGCAGCGACGCCGCGUGGGGGAUGACGGCCUUCGGGUUGUAAACCUCUUUCAGCAGGGACGAAGCGAAAGUGACGGUACCUGCAGAAGAAGCACCGGCCAACUACGUGCCAGCAGCCGCGGUAAUACGUAGGGUGCGAGCGUUGUCCGGAAUUACUGGGCGUAAAGAGCUCGUAGGUGGUUUGUCGCGUUGUUCGUGAAAACCGGGGGGCUUAACCCUCGGCGUGCGGGCGAUACGGGCAGACUAGAGUACUGCAGGGGAGACUGGAAUUCCUGGUGUAGCGGUGGAAUGCGCAGAUAUCAGGAGGAACACCGGUGGCGAAGGCGGGUCUCUGGGCAGUAACUGACGCUGAGGAGCGAAAGCGUGGGGAGCGAACAGGAUUAGAUACCCUGGUAGUCCACGCCGUAAACGGUGGGUACUAGGUGUGGGUUUCCUUCCUUGGGAUCCGUGCCGUAGCUAACGCAUUAAGUACCCCGCCUGGGGAGUACGGCCGCAAGGCUAAAACUCAAAGGAAUUGACGGGGUCAUAGCUGUUUCC